CGACUCUCGGCAACGGAUAUCUCGGCUCACGCAUCGAUGAAGAACGUAGCAAAAUGCGAUACCUGGUGUGAAUUGCAGAAUCCCGUGAACCAUCGAGUUUUUGAACGCAAGUUGCGCCCGAAGCCAUCUGGUUGAGGGCACGUCUGCCUGGGCGUCACG
rnacentral:rRNA from 1 species